rnacentral:rRNA from 1 species
AAAGUGGCGCACGGGUGAGUAAUACAUGGGAACAUGCCCUUAGAUGGGGAAUAACGUUUGGAAACGAACGCUAAUACCGCAUAAUCUCGCGAGAGUAAAGGUGGCGCCGCAAGGGCUGCCGUCUAAGGAUUGGCCCAUGUCCCAUUAGCUAGUUGGCGGAGUAAUGGCCCACCAAGGCAACGAUGGGUAUGUGGUCUGAGAGGAUGAUCACACACACUGGAACUGAGACACGGUCCAGACUCCUACGGGAGGCAGCAGUAGGGAAUAUUGCACAAUGGGGGAAACCCUGAUGCAGCAACGCCGCGUGAGUGAAGAAGGCCCUUGGGUUGUAAAGCUCUUUAGCGAGGGAAGAAGGUAGAUACGGUGAAUAAUCGUGUUUGCUGACGGUACCUCGGGAAUAAGCACCGGCUAAUUUCGUGCCAGCAGCCGCGGUAAUACGAAAGGUGCAAGCGUUACUCGGAAUCACUGGGCGUAAAGCGCACGUAGGCGGACUUACAGGUCAAUUGUGAAAUACCUGGGCUCAACCCGGGAACUGCAGUUGAAACCGUUUGUCUUGAAUACCUGAGAGGGUGGGGGAAUACCUGGUGGAGAAGUGAAAUUCGUAGAGAUCAGGUGGAACACCGGAGGCGAAGGCGCCUGCCUGGCAGUGUAUUGACGCUGAGGUGCGAAAGUGCGGGGAGCAAACAGGAUUAGAUACCCUGGUAGUCCGCACCGUAAACGAUGGAUACUAGGCGUUCGGAGAGUUAACCCUCUGAGUGCCAAAGUUCACACAUUAAGUAUCCCGCCUGGGAAGUACGGUCGCAAGACUAAAACUCAAAGGAAUUGACGGGGGCCCGCACAAGCGGUGGAGUAUGUGGUUUAAUUCGAAGCAACGCGCAGAACCUUACCUGGCCUUGAC